UACGUAGGGUGCAAGCGUUAUCCGGAAUUACUGGGUUUAAAGGGUGCGUAGGCGGCCAGGUAAGUCAGGAGUGAAAGUUGCGGCUCAACCGUAAAAUUGCUUUUGAUACUGCCAGGCUAGAAUUUGGAUGAGGUCAGCGGAAUGUGGCAUGUAGCGGUGAAAUGCAUAGAUAUGCCAUAGAACACCAAUUGCGAAGGCAGCUGGCUAGACCUGGAUUGACGCUGAGGCACGAAAGCGUGGGGAGCGAACAGG
rnacentral:rRNA from 1 species